rnacentral:misc_RNA from 1 species
GUAGGUGAACCUGCGGAAGGAUCAUUAUCACGUAUCCACGUAUAAACCAUUGUGAACUGUGCCUACCUUGGAGAUGCAAUGAGUCAGUGUGUUGUAGAUAUUUUAAAGCAGUUUUUUGUAAUUAAACUGUGUCUACGGCGCCAUGGUUGAGUGUUUUCGGACUCUCUCUCAUACUUGUUCAUUUUUUCCAAGUGUAUUUAAUUACUACCUAUUAACCAUUUCAACCAAUCUUUAUAACAUUCUGAACUAA